rnacentral:rRNA from 1 species
UUAAAUUGAAGAGUUUGAUCAUGGCUCAGAUUGAACGCUGGCGGCAGGCCUAACACAUGCAAGUCGAACGGUAACAGGGAUCAGCUUGCUGAUUCGCUGA